rfam:Pongo abelii chromosome 10.
UUUUUAGUUUAAGUAUGCCCUAUGCAAUAUUUGGGACAUACUUAUGCUAAAA